AUCCCUUUGAUCGCCAUCAUCCACUCACUCUUGUGACUGGUGGUGGUCGAGAUAUGGACCUUCACCACUGAUCGUCUUGAAUGAAUGCACGGUUGCUCGUGAGAGGGUCUGCGCUGUCGAUCGAGCAACUAAUCAAUCACUUG
rnacentral:misc_RNA from 1 species